AUUUAGAUUUAAUCAGCUAUCAGCUGGGUGCACAGAUGAAAGGUGUUAAUCACAGGGGCUUUGGAGUCAAGGCUGGAACACGCACACAGCGCUGCGGAGUCACCCCAUUUGGUUUCCUCUCCCAAAGAGCCGUAGCGCCUGAUUUUUCUGUUUCAGUAGAUCAGGAAGUGACUCGAGUCAUUAAGUGAGCAGAGAAGAGAAAGGAUCCAGGCUGAGCAACGCACAGGAGGAAAUUCGAUGAGCUCAUUUGGAAAUUUAAAAUACGCGCCAGUCACCAAAAGGGAAGGAACUUGCAAAGUUCUCUGCAGCAGCGAGCACAGGGGGACACCACCAGCUGUCACCGGCAUCCCUGGCAACAACCAGGAGCUUUUGUCAGCCUUUUGCCUAAACUUUGUCCUCUGCAGGACAGCUGCAGGGCAGAAGAGCCCAGCCGCAGGCAGGUUCAGCUUUUCCUGCUCCGAGCUGGCACGGACGCCAGCAGCUGGCAUUCAGCCACCCUCCACCCCACCCUGAUUUUAGUCCAGCUUUGCAAGAAGGGGGUUUGCAGCCAAAGGGAGCUCUCUGCAAGGUGCCUUUGCCUGCAGGGCUGGGAGGCACCGGGAGCUGGGCUCUGCUGCAAGGAGCUGUGCUCCUGCAGCGCUGCUCCGUGCCUGUGCCGCUGGGGGACGGAGGCCAGCACACAGCAAACACCUCCAAACUCCACAAGGGCAGGGGAAAACGAAAAAUAAAAAAUAAAUAAAUAAAAUAAAAUAAAAUAAAAUAAAAUAAAAUAAAAUAAAAUAAAAUAAAAUGCAGAUCAGCAAUACUGGGGGCACUUGGUGCAGAGCUACCACCAGCCUGGAGCUGGGCAUGCACCAAGGAAGCGGUGGAGGUGCAUUGCGGUAGAAAGGCUCUGCCCCAGCCUCCGUUCCCAUGCUGGAACCAGUAAUGGGACCGGACAGCAGGUCUGUCGGGGGCUGGGAAGUGAGGGAAGAUUUAUUGCCUUCUACCGACAGAAAAUGAGCGGGUGAUUCAACAGUUUCUCAUUAGCCUGAUAUAAAACCGAGCUGGAGCUUUUGUGACAUUGAGCGUCCUUUGUUUUGUUCCAGAAAAUAAAUGAGGAGGUGUUAGGGCAUGUAUGUGCUUCUUUCCACAGAAAAGAAAAACUACUGACCCCAAGCAAUCACACUUUGUAAAAAAUAGUAACAACAAAGCCUGGCUGACUUCAGAAUAGCAAAUGGGGAGGGGGAAUUUUGUUUUCCUUGAAUUUUGAAGAAGUACAACUCGGUUAUAGUCCUGUAAAAUGUACAAAGAAGGAAGCUUUACCUUAAGAAAAACAAACAAAAAUAACACAAACACACUGAAACCAAGAAAACAAUGAAAAAAUUAUCCCAUGAUUGCAUUGCUUCAGGACCUGCAGCUUUAAUGAAAACACCAGCAAAUAGUUUAUUUUGUAAUGAACUCAUUAACAUUUUUGUAAAAACAGAAACAGAAAAACCACUCAGCAAGUCAAAUGAGUUUUUUAA